AGUGCGAUGUGGGGACGGAGAAGGUUAGGUUAGCCAUCUGUUGGAAUAGGUGGUUUAAGCGUGUAGACGGGGGGAUUAGGCAAAUCCGGUUCCCUAUUCAACGUUGAGGCGUGAUGACGAGGUCUCUUAGAGACUGAAGUAACUGAUACCCAGCUUCCAGGAAAAGCCACUAAGCUUCAGCUUACAUUGAACCGUACCGCAAACCGACACAGGUGGGCAGGAUGAGAAUUCUAAGGCGCUUGAGAGAACUCAGGAGAAGGAACUCGGCAAAUUGACACCGUAACUUCGGGAGAAGGUGUGCCUCUGGUAGGUGAAGUCGAACAGACGGAGCUGAAAGAGGCCGCAGAGAAAUGGGGGCUGCGACUGUUUAUCAAAAACACAGCACUCUGCCAAUACGAAAGUAGACGUAUAGGGUGUGACGCCUGCCCGGUGCUGGAAGAUUAAAUGAUGGGGUGCAAGCUCUUGAUUGAAGUCCCAGUAAACGGCGGCCGUAACUAUAACGGUCCUAAGGUAGCGAAAUUCCUUGUCGGGUAAGUUCCGACCCGCACGAAUGGCGUAACGAUGGCCCCACUGUCUCCUCCUGAGACUCAGCGAAGUUGAAGUGUUUGUGAAGAUGCAAUCUCCCCGCUGCUAGACGGAAAGACCCCGUGAACCUUUACUGUAGCUUUACAUUGGACUUUGAACAGACUUGUGUAGGAUAGGUGGGAGGCUAUGAAGUGUGGACGCUAGUUCGCAUGGAGCCGCCCUUGAAAUACCACCCUGGUGUGUUUGAGGUUCUAACCUUGGUCCGUAAUCCGGAUCGGGGACCGUGUAUGGUAGGCAGUUUGACUGGGGCGGUCUCCUCCCAAAGUGUAACGGAGGAGCUCGAAGGUUACCUAGGUACGGUCGGACAUCGUACUGAUAGUGUAAUGGCACAAGGUAGCUUGACUGCGAGACUGACAAGUCGAGCAGGUGCGAAAGCAGGACAUAGUGAUCCGGUGGUUCUGAAUGGAAGGGCCAUCGCUCAACGGAUAAAAGGUACUCCGGGGAUAACAGGCUGAUUCCGCCCAAGAGUUCACAUCGACGGCGGAGUUUGGCACCUCGAUGUCGGCUCAUCACAUCCUGGGGCUGUAGCCGGUCCCAAGGGUAUGGCUGUUCGCCAUUUAAAGUGGUACGUGAGCUGGGUUCAAAACGUCGUGAGACAGUUUGGUCCCUAUCUGCAGUGGGCGUUGGAAAUUUGAGGGGGGCUGCUCCUAGUACGAGAGGACCGGAGUGGACAGACCUCUGGUGUACCGGUUAUCACGCCAGUGGUAUCGCCGGGUAGCUAAGUCUGGAAGAGAUAAACGCUGAAAGCAUCUAAGCGUGAAACUUGCCUCGAGAUGAGAUUUCCCCUGAAAAG
rnacentral:rRNA from 1 species